rnacentral:misc_RNA from 1 species
UACGGAGGGUGCAAGCGUUAAUCGUAAUUACUGGGCGUAAAGCGCACGCAGGCGGCCAAGUAAGCCGGUGGUGAAAGCCCCGGGCUCAACCUGGGAAUGGCAUCCGGAACUGUUUGGCUAGAGUGCAGAAGAGGAAGGUAGAAUUCCCGGUGUAGCGGUGAAAUGCGUAGAAAUCGGGAGGAAUACCAGUGGCGAAGGCGGCCUUCUGGACUGACACUGACACUGAGGUGCGAAAGCGUGGGUAGCAAACAGG